rnacentral:rRNA from 1 species
AGUGAACGCUGGCGGUAUGCCUAACACAUGCAAGUCGAACGGCAGCAUAGUAAGAGCUUGCUCUUACGUGCGUCGAGUGGCGGACGCUUGAGGAAGACAUCGGAAUCUACUUUUUCGUGGGUGCUAACGUAGGGAAACUUACUCUAAUACCGCAUACGACCUACGUGUGAAAGCAGGCGUUCUUCUAACCUUUCGCUAUUGAAUGAGCCUAUGUCGGAUUAGCUAGUUGGCUGGGUAAAGGCCCACCAAGGCGACGAUCCGUAUCUGGUCUGAAGGGAUGAACAGAUAGACUGGCACUGAGACACGGUACAGACUCCUACGGGGGGAAGCGGUGGGGACUAUUGGACAAUGGGGGAGUGGCUAAUACAGGCAAACCGGGUGAGGGAAGAAGGACUAAGGGUGGGAGAGUCAUUUUGUUGGGAGAGAAAAACAGCAGGUUAAUACCCCACUAUAAUGACGGUACCCAAAGAAUAAGCACCGGCUAACUUCGUG